GAUGAACGCUGGCGGCGUGCUUAACACAUGCAAGUCGAACGAAGCGAGAACUAAAGCGCAAGCAGAGGUUCUUGACUGAGUGGCGGACGGGUGAGUAACGCGUGGAUAACCUGCCUUUCACAGGGGGAUAACAGCUGGAAACGGCUGCUAAUACCGCAUGAGCCUCUUUUGUCGCAUGAGGAGAGAGGGAAAGAGAAAUCGGUGAGAGAUGGAUCCGCGUCCGAUUAGCUAGUUGGAGGGGUAACAGCCCACCAAGGCGACGAUCGGUAGCCGACCUGAGAGGGUGGACGGCCACAUUGGGACUGAGACACGGCCCAA
rnacentral:rRNA from 1 species